CCUACGGGUGGCAGCAGUGGGGAAUAUUGGACAAUGGGGGCAACCCUGAUCCAGCCAUGCCGCGUGUGUGAAGAAGGCCUUCGGGUUGUAAAGCACUUUAGGUCGGGAGGCGUUACCGACAGAAUAAGCACCGGCUAACUUCGUGCCAGCAGCCGCGGUAAUACGAGGGGUGCAAGCGUUAAUCGGAAUUACUGGGCGUAAAGCGCGCGUAGGCGGCUUGAUAAGUCGGAUGUGAAAGCCCUGGGCUCAACCUGGGAACUGCAUUCGAUACUGUCGAGCUAGAGUGUGGGAGAGGGUGGUGGAAUUCCCGGUGUAGCGGUGAAAUGCGUAGAUAUCGGGAGGAACAUCAGUGGCGAAGGCGACCGCCUGGCCCAAACUGACGCUGAGGUGCGAAAGCGUGGGUAGCAAACAGGAUUAGAUACCCUUGUAGUC
rnacentral:rRNA from 1 species